rnacentral:rRNA from 1 species
AUUGAACGCUGGCGGCAGGCCUAACACAUGCAAGUCGAGCGGAUGAAGGGAGCUUGCUCCUGGAUUCACCGGCGGACGGGUGAGUAAUGCCUAGGAAUCUGCCUGGUAGUGGGGGAUAACGUCCGGAAACGGGCGCUAAUACCGCAUACGUCCUGAGGGAGAAAGUGGGGGAUCUUCGGACCUCACGCUAUCAGAUGAGCCUAGGUCGGAUUAGCUAGUUGGUGGGGUAAAGGCCUACCAAGGCGACGAUCCGUAACUGGUCUGAGAGGAUGAUCAGUCACACUGGAACUGAGACACGGUCCAGACUCCUACGGGAGGCAGCAGUGGGGAAUAUUGGACAAUGGGCGAAAGCCUGAUCCAGCCAUGCCGCGUGUGUGAAGAAGGUCUUCGGAUUGUAAAGCACUUUAAGUUGGGAGGAAGGGCAGUAAGUUAAUACCUUGCUGUUUUGACGUUACCAACAGAAUAAGCACCGGCUAACUUCGUG